AUUUAUAAACAAAUAAUUAAACUUAUAUCUUAGUGCACCUUCAUGAGUUUAGCUUUCUAUUCUUCAAAUGGGUAACGUGUACAAAUGCAUCAGAUCAUUUGUACUCAAGUACUGACAAAGAACUGUGAUGUAAAAAGUGUGAUUUUUCUGAUGUCUGUGUUGAGUACAAAAGAGAGAAGCUCCAGUUAAACUCAUUGAGAAGCGUCUGUGAAAUCCAAGAAGCCGGGCUUGGAGCCAACACUUCUGUCUACAUGUUUGCUGUUUGCUGACUUUGCAUUAAUGUGGGCUUUAAGCCAAGAAGAGCAGUCAGAUCACUCAAGACUUUCUUAUAAUUUACAAUCACAUCUUUCCAGGGAAAGGUGUAGGGUUUAGGGCCAGGGAUUACUUAGAAACCAGCCUUCCAAUGCACCAGGACAGAACGAUUUGAUGUUUUAUCAUGGGACAAAACGAUUUGAUGAAUUACAUGCUUAAUUAAUAGGAGGGAAUCUUUUUGAUUCUCACCCCUUUAGCUUCACCUUGGGUGGUUGUUUUGCUGUUAGAUAAUUUCAUAUUCGAAAGGGAACUGGAGGAAGAAGAAGUUGGUUUGGCUACAAGUCAGCAGUUCUGGAGAAUGUUUACUCAGGGAGGAGCUUGGAAACUGUGAGAAUUUGGGGAUUAUCAGAACAUUUUCAGUUCUUUCAUGUUCCCACCCUACCAAUGCUGACCUUCUAGCCUCUGCCAGAGAAAACUCAAGCCAUUCCUCAACCCGUAUGUGUGGUGGUGGGGAAGGCCACCAUGAGCACAGCAGGCAUACUUACUUAAGAAUCUAAUCUACAUUUGGGGGAAUUAUUGCAGUUCUUAUUGGUUGCUUAUGUGAACAUAAAUUUUAUUAUGAAAUUUAGCCAAGCAGUCCUUAGAAGUACACAUAAUAAAUAUGACAGUUUUUUUUUAAUUUUUUUUAACUUUGUAGUAAAAAAUUCUAUUUUUGAUAGGGCGUUGGGACAGUUUUAAGUUACUUUGUCUGGGGAGUCUUGGGAAAGAACCUUCCAGAUUUUUUGUACACUAUCUUUAAAGGAAAACACUUAUUGAAACCUCUAUGGUAGACUAUUUGUUCAAAGGUUAGAUUUGAGAAAUUUAGUUAGUCUCUUAAAACUGCAUUUAUUAGAAUUCUUCAGUAUUGCGCCAGGAGGCCUUGAGAACCCUAUCUUAUCUAUGUGACCUGAAGUGCCUCCCCUGGCAGAAGGAUUGUUAAACUGAAGCAUGUGGUUCUCCCAAGGCGAAUGUUUUCUUGUAAACAUUUUAAAAAGAUAGCACCUCUUUUCUAGUUGUGUCUGUUCAAGUGUUCAAAAUGGGAAGAAUACUUCCCAUGCCAGUGGAGCUCAACUGGGCUCAGCCCUGAGCCCCCUGUCUGUUUGAUAAUCCUCCUGGGGGAGGGCCAAGGGGACUGCUGGCCCGUCUCCCCUCUAGACUGUUAGGAAUGGGAGGUAUAAGCAAAAGGGGACACCUUCUAAAAGGGAGGUCCGAAUAUGAUUGCCGAACUUAUUCUAGUAACUUAAAAGAGUGGGUUCUCCUCCCGCUUGGAACCUUCAUCCUCUUUGUACAGACUUCCAUCAAGGUCUCUGCAACCCUUUCCCUUUUUGUCCCCCGUGGGUGUGAGGGGAUGGGGAAGGUAAAUACCAGGUUUUAUGGCAUGGCUGAAAGAACACCUUUAAUGGGGACCUAUACAUGUAAAGGGUCCCAAGAAGGGCCCAGGUCCUUUAUCUUCUCAUUAUUCUACAAAGAGUUGGGCAGGAGCCCAAAGCUGCCAGAUCCUGUCCCCCUGCAAAUCGACCUUCUCUGGGGCAGUAUGAGGAUGGCCUCAUCUCUGGAUCACAAAUAACGUGAACUUGGGCACUGAAAAGACUGAGCUGGGAAAUACCAGGUGUGCAGCACCUGGAGACUUUGGGGCCUUGUUUGAAGUCACAGCUGCUCCUGCUUGGGGAAGGGAGCCACUAGUCCCAGGGGAAGCUGGGUUUGGGUACAGCCCCUCCUGCUGGGGAAAGGCUGGGCUUCCAGUCCCAGCCAGCUCACUGCCUGGCAAGUCAAGCUGGGUCAUAUCCACAAAUCCCAUGUGUGCCUCCAGUGGGCAGAUCCGCGCAUUUUCUAAGGUGAGGUACGGUCUUAUUCAUUCUUAGGUCUGGAGCUUCCCUGUCUAAAAUCCCGGAAGAAGGAUUCCAUCUUUCAAUGCUCUAAGUGCAUUUUGACUCACCCUAAAGUUUUGAAACGAGGACUUUAAACUUUACCUUAUUUGAUAAAUGAGAGUGUUUAAUUCAAAGGUUAAAAACUAGGUUAAGUCUUUUCACCUCUGACUCUGUUUUCCAUUGCUUAACACUGAGCUUUCAUUAUUCCUUGGCAAUAGACUGUAAGUUUUAUUACUGUGCUCUUUAUUGUGAUACUCAUUGGUUUGGUGUUAUUCUAAUUUUCUUUUAGCCUUCUCAAUAAAAAAGUAACAAAAAUAAUUAGUAUUUAUUGAUGAUAUUGGAUAUUAUUGACAAUAACCAGUAUUAUUACCAGUAUGACAAGUAGUGUGAUAAGCAUUUUACAUGAAUUGUAUCAUUUAAGCCCCAAAUAAGUAUCAUUAGAACCAUUUUGAAGAUGGGGACACAAAGGAUUAGACUAGAGAGUUUAAGAAACUUGCCCAGUCAAAUGGAACAGCUGGCUUUGCAGCUCCACAAUGUCCCAUCAAAAUCAUGCUCUUAGACUUUACAGGUUGAGGACACAGCUGGGCUCAGCCCUGAUCCGGGGUGCCUGGGGUCAGAGGUGGAGAAUGCCUCUGCUACCGUGGACAUGGAGCCUAGAAAGACUUGUCUCUGAAUAUUCAUGUCCAUAUUGAGCAAAAUUUAAACUUUCUCACAUAAUAUAUCAACUAUAUACAUCAAAAUGAUGAACAGCAACAUUAAUAUAUACCAAAAUCAAUUUAAAAAAUACUUAAAUGCUACAAAAACUUGGCUUAGUUGAGUGAAAAAUUAGCUAUUUAUACUAUUUCAUAUACCCAAUCAUUAGGAAGCAUUCUGAAUGUAUAUACAGGAAAUGUGUCAGAUUAGCUUUUGUGUGUCUUUUUUUUCUUUCUUUUUUUUUUUCCUGCUGCAAAAAGCUUUAUUGUUUCAUUUGGCCCUAUGCAUGGGAGAGGGCUUCAGGGUGGUUAAAGAAUGGCUAGUGGUUUCGGAGAGAGGCUCAGGAACAAGCCAGACACCAGGGGUAUACAGAGGUCCCCUCAAAGGCCUCUGGGCUCCAAAGGCUCCUAGUCCUGCUUGAGGGUGAGCCUUUCAAAGAGAUACUCGCCCAAUCCAGCCUGGGGGCCCGACAGCCUGCUGAUA